ACACGUCCCCUUCUGCCCAUAGGACGGGGACAACAUUGGGAAACCGAUGCUCUUACCGGAUGAGCCGAGAGGUAAAACAUUUAUGGCCUAUGGAGGAGCUCGCGACUGAUUAGCUAGUUGGUGAGGUAAGAGCUUACCAAGGCGACGAUCAGUAGCUGGUCUGAGAGGAUGAUCAGCCACACUGGGACUGAGACACGGCCCAGACUCCUACGGGAGGCAGCAGUGGGGAAUUUUCCGCAAUGGGGGCAACCCUGACGGAGCAACGCCGCGUGAGGGAAGAAUGUUUGUGGACAGUAAACCUCUUUUAAUAGGGAAGAAUAAUGACGGCACCUAUUGAAUAAGCAUCGGCUAACUCCGUGCCAGCAGCCGCGGUAAUACGGAGGAUGCAAGCGUUAUCCGGGAUUAUUGGGCGUAAAGCGUCCGCAGGUGGUUAGUCAAGUCAGCUGUAAAAUACUCAGGCUCAACUUGGGAUGUGCAGUUGAAACUGAUUGACUAGAGUACGGUAGGGGUAGAGGGAACUCCUAGUGUAGCGGUGAAAUGCGUAGAUAUUAGGAAGAACACCAGUGGCGAAGGCGCUCUACUGGGCCUGUACUGACACUGAGGGACGAAAGCUAGGGGAGCGAAAGGGAUUAGAUACCCCUGUAGUCCUAGCUGUAAGCGAUGGAUACUAGGUGUUGGACGUAUCGACCCGUUCAGUAUCGUAGCUAACGCGUUAAGUAUCCCGCCUGGGGGAGUCCCCCCCCAGGUGUGAAACUCCAA
rnacentral:rRNA from 1 species